AUUGAACGCUGGCGGCAGGCCUAACACAUGCAAGUCGAGCGGAGCGGCGGACGGGUGAGUAAGUCCUAGGAAUCUGCCUGGUAGUGGGGGAUAACGUCCGGAAACGGGCGCUAAUACCGCAUACUAUCAGAUGAGCCUAGGGCGGAUUAGCGAGUUGGUGGGGUAAAGGCCUACCAGGGCGACGAUCCGUAACUGGUCUGAGAGGAUGAUCAGUCACACGGGAACUUAGACACGGUCCAGACUCCUACGGGAGGCAGCAGUGGGGAAUAUUGGACAAUGGGCGAAAGCCUGAUCCAGCCAUGCCGCGUGUGUGAAGAAGGUCUUCGGAUUGUAAAGCACUUUAAGUUGGGAGGCGUUCCCAACCCCGUAAGCACCGGCUAACUUCGUGCCAGCAGCCGCGGUAAUUC
rnacentral:rRNA from 1 species